UGGCUCAGAUGGUAAAGCAUCUGCCUACAAUGCAGGAGAUCCAGGUUUGAUCCCUGG
rnacentral:tRNA from 1 species